AUGCAAGCACUACUCGAGUUCAUAACAUUGGCAGACCUAACUCUGAACAUCGAGCUGGUGCAAGGCGUGGAUGGCGCGAUCGCAUGGAAAUGGGAAAGCACGGGCAGUUUCUCCGCCCGAUCGGCAUACCGUGCCCAUUUUGCGGGUAGAAUAGAGAAGGCUGGAGCCGUCCAGAUUUGGAGAUCGCGGGUGCCGCCGGCAUACAAGUUCUUCACGUGGCUAGCGACACGAAAUAGGUGUUGGAUAGCGGACAGGUUGCAGCGCCACCAAUUGCCGCACCCAUCGGCAUGUCCCUUCUGCGAUCAAGCCCCGAAGACUCUAGAUCAUCUGCUGCUCGGAUGUGUCUUUGCAAGGCAGAUAUGGGCCAAGAUCACAAACACAUAG
rnacentral:rRNA from 1 species